rnacentral:miRNA from 1 species
AUAGGAAAAUGACAAAGAGCUG